rnacentral:rRNA from 2 species
UGCUUCUAUGACGUUAGCGGCGGACGGGUGAGUAACACGUGGGCACCUGCCUGUAAGACUGGGAUAACUUCGGGAAACCGAAGCUAAUACCGGAUAGGAUCUUCUCCUUCAUGGGAGAUGAUUGAAAGAUGGUUUCGGCUAUCACUUACAGAUGGGCCCGCGGUGCAUUAGCUAGUUGGUGAGGUAACGGCUCACCAAGGCAACGAUGCAUAGCCGACCUGAGAGGGUGAUCGGCCACACUGGGACUGAGACACGGCCCAGACUCCUACGGGAGGCAGCAGUAGGGAAUCUUCCGCAAUGGACGAAAGUCUGACGGAGCAACGCCGCGUGAGUGAUGAAGGCUUUCGGGUCGU